rnacentral:misc_RNA from 1 species
AACGCACAUUGCGCCCUCUGGUAUUCCGGAGGGCAUGCCUGUUCGAGCGUCAUUUCAACCCUCAAGCACUGCUUGGUGUUGGGGCACCGCCUGUAAAAGGGCGGGCCCUGAAAUCUAGUGGCGAGCUCGCCAGGACCCCGAGCGUAGUAAUUAUAUUUCGUUCUGGAAGGCCCUGGCGGUGCCCUGCCGUUAAACCCCCAACUUCUGAAAAUUUGACCUCGGAUCAGGUAGGAAUACCCGCUGAACUUAA